AUACGGAAGGUCCGGGCGUUAUCCGGAUUUAUUGGGUUUAGAGGGAGCGCAGGCGGAGAUGCAAGCGUGACGUCAAAUUUCGGGGCUCAACCCCGUCUCGCGUCGCGAACUGCGUCCCUUGGUUGCGGGAAGGGGAGGCGGAACUCGUGGUGUAGCGGUGAAAUGCAUAGAUAUCACGAAGAACUCCGAUCGCGAAGGCAGCCUUCCGGCCCGUCAACGACGCUCAUGCUCGAAGGUGCGGGUAUCAAACAGGAUUAGAUACCCUGGUAGUCCGCACAGUAAACGAUGGACACCCGCGGUUUGGCCUGUAUGGCUGAGCCGCCAAGCGAAAGCGUUAAGUGUCCCACCUGGGGAGUACGCCGGCAACGGCGAAACUCAAAUGAAUUGACGGGG
rnacentral:rRNA from 1 species